UACGGAGGGUGCGAGCGUUGUCCGGAAUCAUUGGGCGUAAAGGGCGCGUAGGUGGCCCGGUCAGUUCGUGGUGAAAGCGCGGGGCUCAACCCUGCGUCGGCCAUGAAUACUGCCGCGGCUGGAGCACUGUAGAGGCAGGCGGAAUUCCGGGUGUAGCGGUGGAAUGCGUAGAGAUCCGGAAGAACACCGGUGGCGAAGGCGGCCUGCUGGGCAGUUCCUGACACUGAGGCACGAAGGCUAGGGGAGCA
rnacentral:rRNA from 1 species